GGGUUCUUAGCUCAGUUGGUAGAGCAGCGGACUCUUAAUCCGUAGGUCGAAGGUUCGAAUCCUUCAGGACCCACCA
rnacentral:tRNA from 1 species